AAUGAACGCUGGCGGCGUGCUUUAUACAUGCAAGUCGAACGAGAAAGUGACUUCGGUCGCGAGUACAGUGGCGGACGGGUGAGUAACACGUGGAUAACCUACCCUGGUGUGGGGGACAACUCGGGGAAACCUGAGCUAAUACCGCAUACGUCUGACGGCUCUCGAGCUGUUAGGGAAAGGCUGCCUCUUCUUGAAAGCAGUCGCACUUGGAGGGGUCCGCGUCCGAUUAGCUAGUUGGUGAGGUAAUGGCUCACCAAGGCGACGAUCGGUAGCCGGCCUGAGAGGGUGAUCGGCCACACUGGAACUGAGACACGGUCCAGACUCCUACGGGAGGCAGCAGUAGGGAAUAUUGCACAAUGGGGGAAACCCUGAUGCAGCAACGCCGCGUGAAGGAUGAAGGCCCUCGGGUCGUAAACUUUCUGUCAGAAGGGAGAAGAGUUGUCGGUUAAGAGCUAACAACUUUGACGGUACCUUCAGAGGAAGCCC
rnacentral:rRNA from 1 species